AGCUUUGUGCAGUGGCAAUAUCGUAGCCAAUGAGGUUUAUCCGAGGCAUGAUUAUUGGUAAUUGAAAACUUUUCCCAAUAAAUGAUGUUGGCAGCACUGGAUAUCCACUUGCAGAAGAGCAAAACUAGAUCCCUAUCCCUUACAAUUUACAAAAAUUAAUUCAAAAUGCAUUAA
rnacentral:snRNA from 1 species